CCUACGGGAGGCAGCAGUAGGGAAUCUUCCACAAUGGGCGAAAGCCUGAUGGAGCAACGCCGCGUGGGUGAAGAAGGUCUUCGGAUCGUAAAACCCUGUUGUUAGAGAAGAAAGUGCGUGAGAGUAACUGUUCACGUUUCGACGGUAUCUAACCAGAAAGCCACGGCUAACUACGUGCCAGCAGCCGCGGUAAUACGUAGGUGGCAAGCGUUAGCCGGAUUUAUUGGGCGUAAAGGGAACGCAGGCGGUCUUUUAAGUCUGAUGUGAAAGCCUUGGGCUUAACCGGAGUAGUGCAUUGGAAACUGGGACACUUGAGUGCAGGAGAGGAGAGUGGAACUCCAUGUGUAGCGGUGAAAUGCGUAGAUAUAUGGAAGAACACCAGAGGCGAAAGCGGCUCUCUGGUAAGUAACUGACGCUGAGGUUCGAAAGCGUGGGUAGCAAACAGGAUUAGAUACCCGAGUAGUC
rnacentral:rRNA from 1 species